GCUCAUGACCAGUCCCUGUAGAGAAGAAACCCCAGAAGAGUCCUAUUCAUCUGCCCCCUAUAUGGUGGCACAAAGACUUCCUCAGAGUGUAUUCAGGAGUUGGCACCAACCAGGUUUACAGCUCGCUAGAUUUUUUUUUUUUUUUUUUUUGAUUGUGGACAUUGGAUGAGCCUCAGGUUCAGCCACAUAUAUGAAAAUAAAUGUAAGUUGGUUAAUUGUUUAGAAAAAUGAAAUAUAAUUGAUCCCUUCCUACUGGGUAUUUGAUAAUAGAAACACCUUAGUCAUGAACUCUAGAGAGAGCCAUGUUCUGCUUCCUCAUUAAUAAACUAUAAAGUUUCUGGUAGGGACUCCACUAGGCUUCUCUUGAGACGAUACUUAGCCAGGCUCUGUGGCUUAUGAAACAAUAGCAAAGUCUAUCUCAGUCCCAAAAAGUCUCCCUGAAAAAAAAUAAGUACCUAAGUUUCUUUAUUUCAAUGGGAUGGAAGACCCAAGUUUGUGUCAUAAUUCUUGAGAGAGACAGGGCAUUCCUUCCCUCCUCUUAUGCUUCAGCUUCUUGGACAAGAAAGCAGCCUCUGCAGUUGCCUGAGUAGCAAGGAGACAUUUCUGAUGAGGAUCUGAUGUUGUUAUGUUCAUAUACGUUUGUUUGAAUUGAUAUUUUUGACUCUUCAUUCUGGUUCUCUGUAGCAAAGAGUCAGUCUCUUAUCAUAUGGGAUAUAUUCAACAGGCUGUUCUUUUUUCAAGUUUCAGGCUUCUGUAAACAAUAUAUUUGGGAGUUCAAAAUUAGGGACUGGAGUGAUAACUCAGUCAAGUGCUUGCCAUGCAAGCAUGAGCACCUGAGUCUAAUCUGUAGAACCUGUUUAAAAAAAAAAAAGCCAGGACUGAUGCCCUAGGCCUGAAUCCCAGCACUGGGAAGGCUCUUGCUGGCCUAUCAGCCCAGCCCAAUUGGUAAGCCAUGGGUCAGUGAGAGACCCUGUCUCAAAGAUCAGAGUCAGUAGCUCCUGGGCAGUAACUCCCAAAGUCCUCUGGUCUCCACAUGAAAGUGAACACACACACAGGUCAGAUUGAUUGUGGGGCGGGGUUACGGAGGGAGGAGGAGGUUAAUGCUCAUCAUGCAUUGGUGCAGUACUAAUGGCUAAGAACAGGGCUUCUGAUGCCAGACCUAGAUUCAAGUCUCAAGUAAUAUAAUAUUAUUUUACCUUCUGAAAGGUAAAUUUUGUGUAUAAGGCAUCUCAGAGGUAUUAGAGCUUAAAAACCUGCAGCACAGUUUAAAGAACCAGUGUGAAAGGUAAUCGCACAGCCAGGCUGAACUGGAAGUGGCAAGUGUUGAGAACCAAGGUUUGGCCAAGUGUGAUGGCUCACACCUGUGACUUUGGUACUUGAGAAGCUGGGACAGGAGGAUGGCAGAGAAUUAAAGGCCAGUAGAGCCUACAUAGGAAAACCUUGUUUUUAAAAGUGGGAGAAAAUGAGGAGCCAAAGAGAUGGCUCAGUGCUAAGACCACUUGCUGCUCUUGUCAGAACCUGUGUUCAGUUCCCAGCAUCCACAUGGGUAUUUAAGGGAUCCGAUCCUCUCCUCCAGCCUCCACAGCCCCUAGGCAUGCAUGUGGUACACAUAUAUACAUGUAGGCAAAUCACCCAGACACAUACAAACAAAAUCUUUAUUUAAAAAAACAACUGUUUCACAGAAAUACAUGGCUGCUAGCAUCUUUGCAUAUAUUUAGUAUGAUCUCUUACUGAUUUUUUUCUACAUCUACCAGCCCCCAUAAGUUUCUGAUGCCACAACCCCAUAUAGUUCUGAUUAUCUCUGAUUUUUCUUUCUUCUCCUACUUCUCUUUUAAGUUUUUUGGAUUUUAUGUGUCAGUAUCUUGCUUACAUGUAUGUAUGUGCACCAUAUACAUGCCUGGUGCCUGCAGAGGUCUGAGAGGGUUUUAGAUCCUGUAGAAUUGGAAUUAUGAAUGGCUGUGAGUCACCACGUGGGUGCUGGAAAUUGAACCUGGGUCCUCUGUAAGAGCAACAAGUGCUCUAAGCUACUGAAUUAAAAAAAAUUUCUUUUUUGUUAUUUUUGUUUGUUUGUUUUUUCAAGACAAGGUCUACUAAGUAGCUCUAAUGGUCCUGGAACUCAUUUUGUGGAGCAGGUUGGCCUUGAACACACAGAAAUCUGAAUGCUACUGCCUUCCAAGUGCUGGAAUUAAAGCUGUGUACCACAAUACCUAGUUUAAAACAAAGAAUUUUUUUUAAAAAUUCUUCUCUUUUAUAUUACAUUCUGAACGGAGUUCUUCCUACCUCCUAUCCUGCCCGUAGCCUUCCUGCUCUCCCCCCUCCCCCAUUCACCCAUUCACUCUUCCAUUUCUCUUCAGAAAAGGGCAGGCUUCCCACGAAUAACAUGGCAUAUCAAGUUACAGUACAACUAAACACCACCUCUUUUUUUGGGGGGAGGGGGUUUGAGACAGGGUUUCUCUGUAUAGCCCUGGCUGUCCUGGAACUCACUUUGUAGACCAGGCUGGCCUCGAACUCAGAGAUCCACCUGCCUCUGCCUCCCGAGUACUGGGAUUAAAGUACUGGGAUUAAAGUACAGGACCACGCCCCGGCUUUAAACACCACCUCUUGUAUUAAGACUGGAAGAAGAACCCAGUCAAAGAGUGAGAAGACAGCCCCUGUUGCUAUUGUUAGGAGUCCCACAAGACCAGGAACACAAUUAACAUAUGCAGAGGGCCUAGGACGGACCCAUGCAGGCUCCCUGACUAUCAGCUCAAUCUCUGUGAGCCCAGGUUAGUUAGUUCUGUGGGUAAAACAAAGAAUUUUUAAAAUAUCCUUUUAAAUAUUUCUAAGUUUUCUUAAUUUAGAUUCUGUAAUGGGAAUUCUAGCCCAGCUCCUCUUCCCAUGCACAUCUUACUUCAGUCAGCUGCAGUCAGCAGUAAAAUUCCUCUGGCCUCUGCACCAGGGCCUGAGGACUUGCUGUUCAGGAACGAAAACAAUACAGUAUUUUAGUGCUGCCAAGAAAGGACAGGUUCUGUUUAAUGUCUACCAAGGUUUCUUCUACGUCACAAGCACUAUCAUAAGGCCAAAGCUUAGUGUCCUUGUUCAAAGAACCUGGAAGCUGCUGCUUAUCUUGUAAAAAGUCACUUGUCACUUCAAGUCAAGGGAUGGAGAACUGAUAUUCUUUUCUGAUCCUGCUCCCAUUUUUGUUUGUUUGUUUAUUGAAAACAGAGUCUUACUUGUGUAACCAAGGUUGCCUCAAACUCAAAAUUUUGUCACUGCUUCCUUAGUGAUGGAAUUACAGAUGUGUUUCCCCACCUGACACCUCCUCCUUUUUAUUUUUGCUUUUCUUGAGACAGGGUUUCAUGGAUCCCAGGCUGACUGCAAACAUGGUAUAUAGCCUAGAUUACUUCGAACUUCUGACCCUUCUGCCUAUCCUUAGUUUUAUGGAGUACUAGGGAUCAAACCCAGAGCUUUGUACAUGUUAGGCAAACUCUACCAAUUUAGCUACAUCCCAAGCCUUUUUCUUUUUUUUAAAGAAUUGACCACAGUCAUAGACAUAUGAUGGCUUUAGUCACCUUGAUCAGUUAAAUGUCCCUCCAUAUCAUGUCUAAGACCAUCAAGGAAGGCAGAUAAUGCAGCCUCAUCAGAUCAGCCUCAAGAAGAGAGCAUUCCUAGGUUCUCAAGUUAGUCAUGUUACAUUCCAAAUAAAGGGCUUGUUGAAACAUC
rnacentral:lncRNA from 1 species